AAAGAGUUAGUUUAAUUAAAAACAUUAGAUUGUCAAACUAAAAACAUUACUUUAAUACUCUUUA
rnacentral:tRNA from 1 species